UGUAAGCGUAUACCGAAGUUGUUGCAGUUAAAACGCUCGUAGUCGGAAUUUGGCAGUUCCGGAUGUGUGCACGUCGUGUGCGCACUUCGCGGGGAUUGCUUUUGUGGUCUUGCGUAGGAUGAGGCACUUUUAUUAGUGAACGUCCUCACGCAACCACUUUUUACUGUGAGAAAAUCAGAGUGCUCAAAGCAGGCAUUUGCCGUGAAUGUAUUAGCAUGGAAUAAUAGAAUAGGACUUGGUUCUAUUUUGUUGGUUUGUUGGGACUGAGUAAUGAUUAAGAGGAACAGUUGGGGGCAUUUGUAUUUCGGUGCUAGAGGUGAAAUUCUUAGAUUACCGAAAGACAAACUGCUGCGAAAGCGUCUGCCAAGGAUGUUUUCAUUGA
rnacentral:rRNA from 1 species